rnacentral:lncRNA from 1 species
CUGGAUCAUUCUCUCUGUCAUCCUGGGAAGGGUAACUCAGUCUGAGUGCAUAGCCCAUGGGUUCCAUCACAGAGAGCUGUGAAGAGUCUUUGAGAACUUUAAUUUCCUUGGGAAAUGGAAGGUCCACUUUCCUAAUUAUUUAUCAGCUGGAUGUGGUAGGAGAUAAAGGGUUUUGAGGAGGUUCUUUUUCCUGUAUAUUUUAAUAUUGGGUGGUUUAUUCAAAGGCCACUUAAAUUAUAGGCUGAGACUCAGGUAUCCUCUGUGAACUUAGAUACACAUUUACAAUGUAUUUCUUCCCUAUUUAAAAUAAAAUUCAAAAUUUAACAAGGAAAGUGGCAAGUUCCUUGUGUUGUUUUCCACUUAACCCUCAAUUACUGUACAUCAUCCUCCAAGAUUGUUUUCUUAAAUUUGCAGUAAUAUAGAUUAUUGAGUUUAUGUCUCAUCAUAUAAUCCAAAAUUUGAGGAGUCUGCAACAGUACAUGAAACCUUGGUAAAAUAUGAAAAUUGUGCACAUGGGAAGGAAGAAAAAUAAGCAGCAUAUAAGAUGGCACAAAAAGGAAGCAUUUGGUGUUGUGGGGAGGGGCCUAAAUUGUCUUCAAGUUAGUUCAGGAAAGUGUGUUGACUUCUGAAUUCAAAGUCACUAGUAUCAGCAAUUGGACCCCGUCUCCCACUUCUGUGCCUUCAGCCCAGGAGGCUCAUUAAUUACAACAUCUUUUCCUCUUGAGCCAAUACCUUGCCUCGGAGUUCUUCUCAUCACAGCCUGCCCCUGCCCUAGGAGGAGAGUUGGCUCCUGAGAUGAAACCUCUUUAUUCUCCCUGGCUCAUCGUGUGGACCUUUGAAGAUGCUGGUAGGUGGAGACAGUGGGCUCUAUGACAUGCCCACCUGAAAGACCUUCUAGUCUAGAGAAAGGGUUCAGGCAGCAUGAGAAACCAUUAGGGGAUGUUAUUGUGGGCAGGAGUUAGUUUGGAUCUUUCUCAUGGUGGUUUGAAUCCCUGUAACAGCCCUGUUUUAACCAUGCAGUGUGUGACAGAGUGCUGUGGAAGAUAGGUCGAAGUGAUCAAUGGCAUCUGACUUUUCAACAGAUACGUAUUGGAAAGUCCGUUGUCUUUUGCAUCAUCAUUUUGUGUUGGCUCCAGUCUGAGGCUAUUUGUAAUUUACAGUACAUGGCAUUAGGCUUUGGACCUCACAGUUUCAGGGCCAUCCAAACUUUGGGAGUUGUCAUUUAGUGCCCCAGAUAGCUCUCUGAUGGGAGCAUCUUUGAAGACUGGGCUGAGAGUGGGUGGAGAUGGGAGUAAUUUUGUAUUUGAUGACACAGAGAAGGAAAUAGUUUCUAUAUGUACAUAAACAUAAGCAUAACAUAUGUGUAAUUUCUAUGGAUUUUUGAAGGCAUUUAUUACUCUAUAUGUGCCCUCUUUGAAAUUUAUGGUAAGAAUAUGGCAAAGGAGAAAAAUAUAUUAACAUUUGGGGUUUCAUUGUGUUCAUAAAAGGCUGUUGUCAAAUCCCCUGACUUUUUACAAUGAAGGGAAAUGUCCCUAGUGAUGGAGCAUCAGGGUUUCGGGAUGAAUCUUUAGAAUUUGAGCAGCCCUGCAAGGCACCGGGCUCAUCUCUGUUCCCCAGCUCAGUUAUGCACAAAGGUCCUUUUCUAGGUGACAUAUCAUGUUGUAUUCCAAAGUACACUUUCUUUUAAUUUACAACUUAAUUUUCAACCUAAUUCAGAAGAUUGAUACUAUAAUGCUAUUUGCAGAAGUAUUGAAAUGUCAGUAAGUUUUAUUGUAGUAAUAAAGAGUAUUCCAUAUAUCACACACUCUAUAGGGAUCCUUGCUUUUUGCAUAGAUCUUCAUAGCAACAACCAGUGGCUAAAUGCUGGCAAUCAUUAAUUUUUAAAGAAGACAUGGUUAUGAUGACUUGAGGAAUUAAGGCUAGUGGUGAAGAAUGAACUUUAAUUUUUGACACUUUUUUUUUUGGUUGCCUACUAAAGUGAGGCGACAGCAAGAUUAUAAAAAAUGGCCCAAAUCCCAGGUUCCUAAUACUUAAAAUGCUGUCUGCUCAUAAAAAGAUUUCAGUGAGGGAGAGGCCAUCUUUGAGCUCCCUGUAACAAAUGGGUAUCAGUGGCCCAUGAAAUAAUCAAUGCCACUAAUCCAUCCUAGGGCCUGCCAAUAUGUUAAUGGCCCUGGUGCAUCGUUAUUGCUACAUGACCAUAAAUCACGCCGGUACCAGAAUGCAUUGCUGUCGAGGCCUCAAACCCCUCGCCUGGAAUAAAAUGCUGCCUCCUAACAAUUAAUGUCCAAACAUUUUGCAGCUUUGUGCCUUGAUUGUUUUCAGAUGCUAAAAAAGUAAGUAGGACAGAGUGUAAAUCAAUAAAACUAUAAGACAAAGUGUUUUAAUAAUAGGAAGGUUCAGAGUAAAUCAUAGUUCUGUGUUUAUUAUUGCUUUUGGGGUUAUAAAUAAAGAGUUACUUUCUACUAUGCAGCAAAGCUACUAAGCUAACAUGGGGGACGGAGGCCAGGGCUAAUCUCUCUGAAUGUGGUUUCCUUCCCUUAUACCACCGUGGGAAACCAAAUCAGGCCAACUGGAGCCACAAAACCUGACUUUUUAUGGGAAGGCAGUGUCUGGUGUUCAGUAGGUCUGUUUUGAGGACAACUGAAUUAGGGAAUUAGUUCCCUGUUGGAAAUGGUGAAAGUAGCUCUGUAUAAAAUUGGAUUCUGGAGUUCCUGCUAUGGCUCAGUGGGUUAAGAACCUGACUAGUAUACAUGAGGAGGUGGGUUUGAUCCCCGGUCUUGCUCAGUGGGUUCAGGAUCUGGUGUUGUUACAAGUUACAGUAUAGAUCACAGAUGCACCUGGGGUCUGGCAUGGCUGUGGCUGUGGCGUAGGCUGGCGGCUGCAGCUCUGAUUUGACCCCUAGCCUGGGAACUUCCAUAUGCUACAGGUACAACCCUAAAAAUAAAAAAAGAGGUUUUCCUGGAAAGCUUCAGGCUUCAAAUGGCCAGUAUGGUGAGAUUUUACCAUAUUUACCUAUGGUAACACAGGUGAUGGAAUGAUGUUAAAGCAGCACCCAAGUUGGUUUGGGGUGCCUACAAGCUUUUACUCGUGUUUGUUUCCAUUAAAACAUCUGACCUGGGAUGUCAGCUUGAGCCAUAGAAAUCCACAGCUGAACCAUAGGCAAACCUAAAAGACCUUAUUUAGGAAAAAGAGUUGCAGUCAAUUGAUCUGUUUUCCUUUGGUCACUGUCAAUUUGGUCCCCUAUCGAAGGUGUUGAGACGCAGAAUGGAAAGUCAUUAACUCCACCUUGUAAAAACAGUGUUGAUUCGUGCCCAUUACUGUGUUCCUUGUUCUACAGCUGUUACGUUUGGCAUGAACCCCUCUGCCUUAAUGAAGGGUAGGUGGCCAGCCUGGAAAGGUGGGCUUGUCACUUGCAUGGCAGCAACGAACCAAAGUCCGCUUGCUACGGACUGGCUGGUGAGUGGUGUCAACUGUGCCUGGAUGCUGACUAUGAGUGGAAUUGGGACCUUUAAUCCCGGCUGAGCCUGCUUCCUGAGCCAGGCUAAAUGUGGAAAUGAAUAAGAAUGUAAACUACCACAUGGAAACAGAGUUAGAAAAUGGGGUUUGGGAAUACCUUGAGCUUUUAGUCAGGUCUGUGAUGUUGAGAAGACACCAUGUUUCCACACAGCCACCCUGAACGGUCAUGCUCCCAAACACAUGCUUAGCCACUGUCAUGUAGCAGGUCAUCUCUUUCUGGCAGUUGUGUGUCCCCAGCGCCCAGCUCUGAUGAGGUUUCGUGGUUUAUUUUGGUGCUCAGGAAAUAGCACAGGAAAAGGCCAGAAAAACAACGGCUCCAUAUAGACAGAAAGACAAUUAAAACUGAUAUGACUCUUAACAGAAGUGGCAAGAGCAGGCAGGAUGGAAGUAAUUUAUUCAACGAAUUGUCCAAAUACAUAAAAUUGCACUGAUGUAUGGUGCAGCGGUGGGACAGUGGAAAAUUUGAUAGUUGUUUCCGUUGUGUGAAUUACUCAGACAGGAUGCCUUUGUGAAGUAUGGGGGUUUGUUUAAUGUUCUGACAACAAUUUAGAUCCUGUUAUGGUUAUUGCAGUGUAAUGCCAUAGUAAAAAUUGAACAUGACACACCAGCAAUUUAUUAUUUGUGUGUUUUUUAACCUUGGGUAUCGGAUUGUUUGUCCAAGCAUAUCCUUUGAUUUGCUAUGAAAUUUAUUGUUGAUAAAAACAAUCAGAUUUCCAUUAGAAGCAAAAAAAAAUAUAUAUUAUUUUUUUUUUACCCUGAACCAUGGAUUUAGGGAAAAAAUUCAAACUAGACUACAGGACUUAUGACAGGUAGACUCAUGACAUUAUAUGGUAAUUCAGCAUGAAAGAAUAAUUGUGACACUCUACUUGGUGGUGGAGUAUAAUCGUGCUGUGAGGUUCAAUUCACUGAAAGGCCAAAUUAUCUUCAACUACAUUAGUCUGACAACCUAUAAUGCUUUGCCGAGGCAAUUUGUAGACGUUUCACCGAGUGCCAGCAAACAGGGCUCCCCAUUAUGCUACCCAUUAACAAAUUUGUGUAGGGAAAAAAAGUAACUUUUCCAUUUCCCUGACUGUUUUCAAGCUUUGCAACAUAAUAAAUAUCUAAUAGUGGUAUUUGCAUUGCCAUUUACUCUCCUAGUUCUAGAAUUUAUCUGAGAUACAGGAGGAGAGGUUUGUCUCUUCAGCUCUGCAGCCUGAGAAAUUACCGAUAUUUUCUUUGACUUAAACGACAGUGAGAUACAGUGGAGAGAGCAUGGUGGGAGGUGGGAGGCCUGGAUUGUCAUUGGGAUCUGCCCCCAAACCUUUGUCUUGUCAGCAUUUAUGUCCUUCCUCACUUUAGACCUCAGUUGCCCCAUCUCUAAAUUGGGGAUUAUAAUCCUUUUCUCUAAGACUCUCUCUGUGCAAGGGUUAAGAUGAGAGGGUCUUAGCUCUGUUCCUAGCCACUGGGAAGACAGUUCAUUUGGAGUGGUUCAGGAAUAGGGGACUGACUGGCAGCCCCCUUGCACGGCUGCUUUGAGGGAAUAGAGCCCCAGGAUGGACACGUGUGAUUGGGGUGGAAUUUCCUCCUGAGUGUGUCCCUUAGUCAAGACCGCACCUGUAUGUAGGUGCCUAUCCCCAGAACAGAACCCCAGGCUGUGCCAAAACAGAUGGUUUUGGUUUGAUCGUCUCAUCUGAAAUACAGAAUAAAUACAUUUGUUGUUGUUUUUCAAAGACUGAAAAAUCCCCUCUCGUGCUAUGGAAAUUUAGGGACACAGCGUAAUUGAUGACCCUUUAAAAAAACAUGAUGCAUACAUCAUGUCAGAUGAAUCCUAAAACAUGUUGAUUAUGUGUGCAGGUGUUUCCGUAUGUGAGGAUGUACAGAGCUGUGUGGCUCAGUGUCCUAAAUAUUUAAUAGAGUUUUGUUUUGUUUUGAUUUUUCACCUGGAUUUUGGGAACUGGAAGAAGAAUCGAAUCCAGGCCCAUUUCUCCUAAAGGCCAGUGCCACCUGUAUCUUUUUUCUUUCAAUUUGUUCUUGCAAUCUCCUCCUUAUUUCCUGAGGUGGGCACUGCUGAUUGAAAAUGAGACUUGGGGGAGUGAUUGGUUUGCAGAGAAAGGCUGGGACAGCAGAGAUAGCUUGAGGAGCCCUCCAUGUCCUUGUCCCCUCCAGCUCCAAAGGUUCUGUAAAAGGGUCUCACCGCUUGGGAAAGAAGGGGCCUGGGGAUAAAUCAAUCUCUCCAUUAUCAGUAAUUGAUUUCUAAUUUAUGAUUUUAAGAAUCAUCAAAGCUUUCUACCUUGUUGUUGAGUAGGGCUUUAUGUCAAUCACUCCGCCUCACCCAGUGGUGUUAGUACAAAAAGCAGAGGCUGACCCUUCAUUAUGACAGGCCAUUCAGCCUCAGACUUGCUGCUUUCAGAAAGAUAAUGACUUUUCCUCAGGUAGAUUUGGAUUCAGCCCUUCCUGAUAGAGUCUAAGAGAUGCACUGUGGUCUAAAUUCUAAACAAUUAAAGAAAGAAGAAAUAGGGUAUUAACCUCAGGAGUCAUUUCCAAGGACUCUUAUCUAGUCUUGUCUGACUGGGUGGGAAGGUUUUUGCUUGAUGGUUAAAGCUCUUUUUAUGUUAGCAAACCAGGGAACAUCUCUGGACUCUUGGAAUAGAGAUGUUGAAUCAGUGGUCCUGGUUGGAAUAUUUUUUCACUUCAUAAGCUGGGAAAAAAAAGUGUGGUGGGUGUGUGUGUGUGUAUUCCCUGCCCUAUGGGCACUAUACUCUAGGAAGUUGGUUGUCCGCUGUGUUGCUAAUCUCUCUAGAGGGACUGUGAAGAGAGUGUCAGAAAUUGAGUACAAUUAGUCGAUGUUACUGGAAGCUUCACCUUGAGGUUGAUGUACUGUGGAGUUGUCCUUGCUUUGGGACAAAGGAUGGCCUGUGGAUAGCAUGCGUGGGGGAAGCUGGAAGGCCACGUUGAUAGAGGAAACAUGUACAGUAAGCAUGAGUGCAGUUACAGUGGGAACAUUCAUAUGGGGAAGGAAGACAGUUGCAGCUUGGCUGGUGGUUGAGUGGGGGUAAUGGAUUAUUGGGAGGGUCUGCAGUCCCAGUGGAGUAGUUAAGGGCAAGCUGGAGCAGUCAUGUUUACACAUGACGCUCUCUGACAUAAUUUCGGCUGAACUGUUGCUGCCUUACUUAGCAUUCAUAGGUCACCCACCUGCAGAAAGGGCAUGUAGGUAGAUGAUUGUUGACUUUACGGCGAUGGAACCUAGCUAAUCAGUGCUCCCGCUGGGCUAUAACUUGUUAUGCCUGAGUGGUUUGUACACCGGGUCUUAAGAUUUCUUACUGGCAAAAAGGGAGAAACAUUCAUUUCUCAAGACCAAAGGCCCCUACUGGGAAGGAAGGGCUCAUCUCAUGUGGAGGGAAAACACAGCAAUACCUCAUGAUUGAGGUUUCCAGAGUGCUUUCAACAGGACCAGUGUAGGUCCUUAGCCAUCCUUUGGAAGACCCCAGGGUUUCACAGAAAGAAUGCUCAUUGAGCCUGUCACAGAAUAGGAGGCGUAUUGCUUGCCUUGUUCUAGGAUUUUCAAGUCAACAUCAGUUAACUUCCCACACCCACAAGUUGGGGAGCCAGGGGUGGAUACAAUGAUACCACAAGAGUCCCUUAUCAUUUAGAGCUGCAGUUACUUUCAGAUGGGGGAUAUUGCUCUUCUGCUGGUUUUCUCAUGGUUUGAUCAACCAGGGUUCUUGUCCACGUAUAUACCGGCAUGUGGCGCCUGGUUAAGUAUUACCUUACGAAUAGCUUUGACCUUUGACGUCAAAGGUCACUGGUGCCUUUUGCAUUGCAGACUGCCCGCUUCACUAGCUUUCUGCUAGCUCUUCUCCCUAGAAUAAUUCUGUGAACAAUGUCCCCGGCCUUCAGGUUCUAGCUUGCUCCUCUGGUAUUUAUCUUUGCCAUCCUUUACCUGAUUUCUUUUCCUUUGUGGUGAUGCUGGUGUGUAUGUUGCUGCAGGAUAGAAUCUCGAUCAAUUAAAAAAAAAAAGCCUAGGAGAGAUGAAAGGUCAGUGUGACAAAUCUGGCCUCUGAGCAUUGGCGCGUGUGUUUGGGUAGCUGAGCUCAGCUGACCAGGGAAGACAAAUUGGGACUGUGAAGACUGCUACCUCAGUGGCCUUAAAGUUGAAAACAAAAUAUCUACUGGGAGGAAUAGGAGUGUUGGGCAUCAUAUUAGAAAUUCAGGAGAAGAGUUAUAUUCUUGUCUUCAUUUGGAAAGGUCACAGGCUUUAUUUGCAGUAAGACACGCAUAUGGUUAUAGUUUGCUUUUAUUUUCUCUUUGGAAAUGUGUAUCAUGCCCACACCAUAUUUAUUUUUCAAUGGCUUAUUUUAACCAGCAGGCACGGUCUUUAACGUGACAAU